AUUGCUUCUUGGCCUUUUGGCUAAGAUCAAGUGUAGUAUCUGUUCUUAUCAUUUUAAUAUCUGAUAUGUCCUCUAUGUGGAGACCAUAUAUUGAAUGGAUUUUUGGAUCAGGGAAAAGCAACAAUGGACUUAUAGGAAGCGUAACUUCGUGUGCCAUUCACAAGUAUCUUCUCAAGUUCUAGGGUUUGCCUUUU